rnacentral:rRNA from 1 species
UACGUAGGGGGCAAGCGUUGUCCGGAUUUAUUGGGCGUAAAGAGCGUGUAGGCGGCUAGGUAGGUCCGUUGUGAAAACUCGAGGCUCAACCUCGAGACGUCGAUGGAAACCAUCUAGCUAGAGUCCGGAAGAGGAGAGUGGAAUUCCUGGUGUAGCGGUGAAAUGCGCAGAUAUCGGGAGGAACACCAGUGGCGAAGGCGACUACCUGGCCUGUUCUUGACGCUGAGGUGCGAAAGCUAGGGGAGCAACGGGG